rnacentral:rRNA from 1 species
GACGAACGCUGGCGGCGUGCUUAACACAUGCAAGUCGUACGGUAAGGCCCUUUCGGGGGUACACGAGUGGCGAACGGGUGAGUAACACGUGAGUAACCUGCCCACAACUUUGGGAUAACGCUAGGAAACUGGUGCUAAUACUGGAUAUGUUCUUCUGCUGCAUGGUGGGGGUUGGAAAGCUCCGGCGGUUGUGGAUGGACUCGCGGCCUAUCAGCUUGUUGGUGGGGUAGUGGCCUACCAAGGCGGCGACGGGUAGCCGGCCUGAGAGGGUGACCGGCCACAUUGGGACUGAGAUACGGCCCAGACUCCUACGGGAGGCAGCAGUGGGGAAUAGUGCUCAAUGGGCGCAAGCCUGAUGCAGCAACGCCGCGUGCGGGAUGACGGCCUUCGGGUUGUAAACCGCUUUCAGCAGGGACGAAGCUUUUUGUGACGGUACCUGCAGAAGAAGCACCGGCUAACUACGUG